rnacentral:rRNA from 1 species
AUUGAACGCUGGCGGCAGGCCUAACACAUGCAAGUCGAGCGGCAGCGGGAAGAAGCUUGCUUCUUUGCCGGCGAGCGGCGGACGGGUGAGUAAUGUCUGGGAAACUGCCCGAUGGAGGGGGAUAACUACUGGAAACGGUAGCUAAUACCGCAUAACGUCGCAAGACCAAAGAGGGGGACCUUCGGGCCUCUUGCCAUCGGAUGUGCCCAGAUGGGAUUAGCUAGUAGGUGAGGUAACGGCUCACCUAGGCGACGAUCCCUAGCUGGUCUGAGAGGAUGACCAGCCACACUGGAACUGAGACACGGUCCAGACUCCUACGGGAGGCAGCAGUGGGGAAUAUUGCACAAUGGGCGCAAGCCUGAUGCAGCCAUGCCGCGUGUAUGAAGAAGGCCUUCGGGUUGUAAAGUACUUUCAGCGGGGAGGAAGGUGAGUGGUUUAAUACGCCACUCAAUUGACGUUACCCGCAGAAGAAGCACCGGCUAACUCCGUGCCAGCCGCCGCCGUAACAC